AGUGAACGCUGGCGGUAGGCCUAACACAUGCAAGUCGAACGGCAGCACAGUAAGAGCUUGCUCUUACGGGUGGCGAGUGGCGGACGGGUGAGGAAUACAUCGGAAUCUACUUUUUCGUGGGGGAUAACGUAGGGAAACUUACGCUAAUACCGCAUACGACCUACGGGUGAAAGCAGGGGAUCUUCGGACCUUGCGCGAUUGAAUGAGCCGAUGUCGGAUUAGCUAGUUGGCGGGGUAAAGGCCCACCAAGGCGACGAUCCGUAGCUGGUCUGAGAGGAUGAGAGGCACGACGGGAACAGAGACGCGGUACAGCGGCCUACGGGAGGCAGCAGGAGGGAAGGUUAGGGAAUGGGCGAGAGCCUGACGGCGCAAGGCGGGGUGAGGGAUGAAGGUCGUCGGAUCGUAAAACUCUGUUACUAGGGAAGAACAAAAGUGUAAGUAACUAUGCACGUCUUGACGGUACCUAAUCAGAAAGCCACGGCUAACUACGUG
rnacentral:rRNA from 1 species